GGCGGCGUGCUUAACACAUGCAAGUCGUACCAAAACACUCUAGCUUGCUAGGGUAAGUAAAGUGGCGCACGGGUGAGUAACGCGUGGGUAAUCUACCUUCGAAUUGGGGAUAACGUUGCGAAAGCGACGCUAAUACCGAAUAACAUCCAUUAAUCUUCGGGUUUUUGGAUCAAGGGUGGCCUCUACAUGUAAGCUACUGUUUGAAGAUGAGCCCGCGUACCAUUAGCUUGUUGGUGGGGUAAAGGCCUACCAAGGCUUCGAUGGUUAGCUGGUCUGAGAGGAUGAUCAGCCACACUGGAACUGACACACGGUCCAGACUCCUACGGGAGGCAGCAGUGAGGAAUUUUGCGCAAUGGGGGAAACCCUGACGCAGCAACGCCGCGUGAGUGACGAAGGCUUUCGGGUCGUAAAGCUCUGUCAAGUGGGAAGAACCUGCAGUAUGCUAAUAU
rnacentral:rRNA from 1 species